CAGUCGCCGCGGGAAAACAGAGGGUGCAAGCGUUAAUCGGAAUUACUGGGCGUAAAGCGCGCGUAGGUGGUUUGUUAAGUUGAAUGUGAAAUCCCCGGGCUCAACCUGGGAACUGCAUCCAAAACUGGCAAGCUAGAGUAGGGCAGAGGGUGGUGGAAUUUCCUGUGUAGCGGUGAAAUGCGUAGAUAUAGGAAGGAACACCAGUGGCGAAGGCGACCACCUGGGCUCAUACUGACACUGAGGUGCGAAAGCGUGGGGAGCAAACAGGAUUAGAUACCCCUGUAGUCCCUGUCUCUUAUAC
rnacentral:rRNA from 1 species